AUUGAACGCUGGCGGCAGGCUUAACACAUGCAAGUCGAGCGGGGGAAGGUAGCUUGCUACUGGACCUAGCGGCGGACGGGUGAGUAAUGCUUAGGAAUCUGCCUAUUUGUGGGGGACAACAUCUCGAAAGGGAUGCUAAUACCGCAUACGUCCUACGGGAGAAAGCAGGGGCUCUUCGUACCUCGCGCUAAUAGAUGAGCCUAAGUCGGAUUAGCUAGUUGGUGGGGUAAAGGCCUACCAAGGCGACGAUCUGUAGCGGGUCUGAGAGGAUGAUCCGCCACACUGGGACUGAGACACGGCCCAGACUCCUACGGGAGGCAGCAGUGGGGAAUAUUGGACAAUGGGGGGAACCCUGAUCCAGCCAUGCCGAGUGUGUGAAGAAGGCCUUAUGGUUGUAAAGCACUUUAAGCGAGGAGGAGGCUACUUUAGUUAAUACCUAGAGAUAGUGGACGUUACUCGCAGAAUAAGCACCGGCUAACUCUGUGCCAGCCGCCGCGGUAA
rnacentral:rRNA from 1 species